UACGGAGGGUGCAAGCGUUAUCCGGAUUCACUGGGUUUAAAGGGUGCGUAGGCGGGUAGGUAAGUCAGUGGUGAAAUCUUCGAGCUUAACUCGGAAACUGCCAUUGAUACUAUUUAUCUUGAAUAUUGCAGAGGUGAGCGGAAUAUGUCAUGUAGCGGUGAAAUGCUUAGAUAUGACAUAGAACACCGAUUGCGUAGGCAGCUCACUACACAUAUAUUGACGCUGAGGCACGAAAGCGUGGGGAUCAAACAGG
rnacentral:rRNA from 1 species